CAGCUCGUGUUGUGAAAUGUUGGGUUAAGUCCCGCAACGAGCGCAACCCUUAUCCUUUGUUGCCAGCGGUCCGGCCGGGAACUCAAAGGAGACUGCCAGUGAUAAACUGGAGGAAGGUGGGGAUGACGUCAAGUCAUCAUGGCCCUUACGACCAGGGCUACACACGUGCUACAAUGGCGCAUACAAAGAGAAGCGACCUCGCGAGAGCAAGCGGACCUCAUAAAGUGCGUCGUAGUCCGGAUUGGAGUCUGCAACUCGACUCCAUGAAGUCGGAAUCGCUAGUAAUCGUGGAUCAGAAUGCCACGGUGAAUACGUUCCCGGGCCUUGUACACACCGCCCGUCACACCAUGGGAGUGGGUUGCAAAAGAAGUAGGUAGCUUAACCUUCGGGAGGGCGCUUACCACUUUGUGAUUCAUGACUGGGGUGAAGUCGUAACAAGGUAACCGUAGGGGAACCUGCGGUUGGAUCACCUCCUU
rnacentral:rRNA from 1 species